UACAGAGGUCUCAAGCGUUUGUUCGGAUUCAUUGGGCGUAAAGAGUGCGUAGGCGGCGCGGUAAGUCGGGUGUGAAAUCUCGGAGCUUAACUCCGAAACUGCAUUCGAUACUGCCGUGCUUGAGGACUGGAGAGGAGACUGGAAUUUACGGUGUAGCGGUGAAAUGCGUAGAUAUCGUAAGGAAGACCAGUGGCGAAGGCGGGUCUCUGGACAGUUCCUGACGCUGAGGCACGAAGGCCAGGGGAGCAAACGGG
rnacentral:rRNA from 1 species